GCGGAUGUGGCGAAACUGGUAGACGCACUUGGCUUAGGACCAAGCGGGGCGACCCUUGAGAGUUCGAGUCUCUCCAUCCGCACCA
rnacentral:tRNA from 1 species